rnacentral:rRNA from 1 species
AUGAACGCUAGCGACAGGCCUAACACAUGCAAGUCAGGGGCAGCACAAGGAGCAAUCUGAGGUGGCGACCGGCGCACGGGUGAGUAACACGUAUGCAACCUGCCUGUAAGCGGGGAAUAACCCGUUGAAAGACGGACUAAUACCGCAUAAUACUAAAUUACUGCAUGGUAAUUUAUUUAAACAUUUAUGGCUUACGGAUGGGCAUGCGCAUGAUUAGCUAGUUGGAGAGGUAACGGCUCCCCAAGGCAACGAUCAUUAGGGGUUCUGAGAGGAAGGUCCCCCACACUGGUACUGAGACACGGACCAGACUCCUACGGGAGGCAGCAGUGAGGAAUAUUGGUCAAUGGACGAGAGUCUGAACCAGCCAAGUCGCGUGCAGGAAGAAUGUCCUAUGGAUUGUAAACUGCUUUUGCAGGGGAAUAAAGUGCAUCACGUGUGAUGUUUUGUAUGUACUCUGCGAAUAAGGAUCGGCUAACUCCGUGCCAGCAGCUGC